rnacentral:rRNA from 1 species
GCGAACGGGUGAGUAACGCGUGGGUAAUCUACCUCCGAGUGGGGAAUAACAGCGGGAAACUGCUGCUAAUACCGCAUGACAUCGUCGAGCCUUCGGGCCUGACGAUCAAAGCCGGGGACCGCAAGGCCUGGCGCUUGGAGACGAGCCCGCGUCCGAUUAGCUAGUUGGCGGGGUAAUGGCCCACCAAGGCUCCGAUCGGUAGCCGGCCUGAGAGGGCGGACGGCCACACUGGGACUGAGACACGGCCCAGACUCCUACGGGAGGCAGCAGUGGGGAAUUUUUCGCAAUGGGGGAAACCCUGACGAAGCAACGCCGCGUGGAGGAUGAAGGCCUUCGGGUCGUAAACUCCUGUCGACCGGGACGAACGCUAUUGGGCCCAAUACGCCCGAUAGUCGACUGUACCGGUGGAGGAAGCCACGG